rnacentral:lncRNA from 1 species
CUGCACAAGUUAGUGGUUACUUGGGCAUGGUUGCUCUCUCAUUUCAGAGUCUCCUUUUGAAGUGGUUCAAAGGUAGAGAGCACUUUAGGAGAAUGGUGUGUUUUAAAACCUGGCUGGCAUUUACAAUGUUCUGCUCUGUUCUUCUCUGCAUUAGCUAUAAGAUAGUGGGCUUUAGUUUGCAGUAGAGAUCUUGUGGCUCAGGAGCCUGAAGAGUUUACUACUCAGCUCUGUGAAUCUUCUUUAAGAUGAUCUUUGAGAAUACCUUUCCAUGUCGUCCUUAAAGCAAGCUAUUGUCAUCCAUUGCUAGCAUUCAGAUUCUCAAGACAAGUAUGUCAUGAGAAAUGAACCUGCAAAGACUACCUGCUUUCUUACCACACUCAUUUCUCCUCACCACUUGUGCCUGCUGAAGGAACAACUUCAGAAGAUGCAGAGUGAGUUUUGAUGGGAAAGAGACUCUUCAUGGGCUACUCUAGAACAAACAAUGGAAACGGAUCACAGGAAAGAAUGAAGGACAUGGUUCAUGUCUGAUUCAGGUGAUUUCUACAAACAGUUCCAGGAGCUUUCUCCAUUCUCCCAGUUGAGAUUGGCAUUAUGCUUAGAGAAGAAAAAGCGUCUCAAAAGAAAACUAGUCACUCUUGAGGUAGAAUUGCCUCACCUGAAGAGGGAGGAGGUAUUUUUCCUUUUCUCUGAGUCAAGAACUCAUGAUCACCAUCACCCAACCCUGCUCACACACACCCUGACCACCACGGGUCUCUAGGCACUUUAAAUUCUAUGAUUUAUAUGAACUCUUACAGGGACGCAGCUGUUCUCCUGGGCAUAUUCACAACACGUUUUUCCACCCACUCACCUCCCAAGGUGGGUUCUUAAGCAAGUAGCAAAAUGAGGUGUGGGCACUGACACAAAGACCAAUGAGGCAUUUUAAGAGAAGUUAAAUUCAGGAAGCUUUAGGGAAACAAACAAAAAUAAAUUUUAAGAAAUCUGUUUGCAUGGAAAGAUAAAACAAUAAUAGAAUGAGAGAGAGAGAGAGAGAGAGA